rnacentral:rRNA from 1 species
UCCGUUGGUGAACCAGCGGAGGGAUCAUUACUGA